UUACGACCACAUCACGUUUAAACACCGGUUUCUCGUACGAUUACCGAAGUUAAGCAACGUCGAGCUAGGUCAGUACCUAGAAGGGUAAUCACUUGAGAAUACCAGGCGCUGUAAG